rnacentral:rRNA from 1 species
AGUGAACGCUGGCGGCGUGCUUAACACAUGCAAGUCGAACGAGAACGGAUUAUAGCUUGCUAUAAUUGUCAGCUAAGUGGCGCACGGGUGAGUAAUGUAUAGGUAAUAUGCCUCUUACUAAGGGAUAACAAAUGGAAACGUUUGCUAAUACCUUAUACUCCUUAUUAACCUAAGUUAAUAAGGGAAAGAUUUAUUGGUAAGAGAUUAGCCUGUAUUGUAUCAGUUAGUUGGUGGGGUAAUGGCCUACCAAGACUAUGACACAUAACUGGUUUGAGAGGAUGAUCAGUCACACUGGAACUGAGACACGGUCCAGACUCCUACGGGAGGCAGCAGUGGGGAAUAUUGCACAAUGGACGAAAGUCUGAUGCAGCAACGCCGCGUGGAGGAUGACACAUUUCGGUGCGUAAACUCCUUUUAUAUGAGAAGAUAAUGACGGUAUUAUAUGAAUAAGCACCGGCUAACUCCGUGCCAGCAGCCGCGGUAAUACGGGGGGUGCAAGCGUUACUCGGAAUCACUGGGCGUAAAGAGCAUGUAGGCGGAUUGAUAAGUUUGAAGUGAAAUCCUAUAGCUUAACUAUAGAACUGCUUUGANNACUGUUAAUCUAGAAUGUGGGAGAGGUAGAUGGAAUUUCUGGUGUAGGGGUAAAAUCCGUAGAGAUCAGAAGGAAUACCGAUUGCGAAGGCGAUCUACUGGAACAUUAUUGACGCUGAGAUGCGAAAGCGUGGGGAGCAAACAGGAUUAGAUACCCUGGUAGUCCACGCNNNAAACGAUGUACACUAGUUGUUGUGAGACUUGAUCUUGCAGUAAUGCAGUUAACACAUUAAGUGUACCGCCUGGGGAGUACGGUCGCAAGAUUAAAACUCAAAGGAAUAGACGGGGACCCGCACAAGCGGUGGAGCAUGUGGUUUAAUUCGACGAUACACGAAGAACCUUACCUGGACUUGACAUAGUAAGAACUUUCUAGAGAUAGAUUGGUGUCUGCUUGCAGAAACUUAUAUACAGGUGCUGCACGGCUGUCGUCAGCUCGUGUCGUGAGAUGUUGGGUUAAGUCCCGCAACGAGCGCAACCCCUAUUGCCAGUUGCUAACAGGAGAGCUGAGCACUCUGGCGAGACUGCCGCCGACAAGGCGGAGGAAGGUGGGGAUGACGUCAAGUCAUCAUGGCCUUUAUGCCCAGGGCUACACACGUGCUACAAUGGCCGGCACAGACGGCAGCUUAGUGGCGACACUUGGCAAAUCCUCCAAAGCCGGUCCCAGUUCGGAUUGCAGUCUGCAACUCGACUGCAUGAAGUCGGAAUCGCUAGUAAUCGCAGAUCAGCCAAGCUGCGGUGAAUACGUUCCCGGGCCU